rnacentral:tRNA from 2 species
GGGCUCAUGGCGCAACGGUUAGCGCAGGGGACUCAUAAUCCCUGGGUUGCAGGUUCGAAUCCUGCUGGGCCCACCC